ensembl:piRNA 21ur-49 ncRNA
UCGGUGUUCUCUAAGGCUUUA